rnacentral:rRNA from 1 species
AGGAUAAACGCUGGCGGCGUGCCUAACACAUGCAAGUCGAACGCGCUUACUAUCCGCGAGGAGGGUGAGCGAGUGGCGGACGGGUGAGGAACACGUGGGUGACCUACCUUUCAGUGAGGGAUACCGGCGAGAAAUUGCCGACAAGACCGCAUACGCUUCUCUUUUCAAGGGGGAGAAGGAAAGCUUUUCGCAAGAGAGGCGCUGGGAGAUGGGCCUGCGGCCGAUUAGCUAGCUGGUGGGGUAAUGGCCUACCAGGGCGACGAUCGGUAGCUGGUCUGAGAGGACGAUCAGCCACACUGGGAUUGAGAACGGCCCAGACUCCUACGGGGGGCAGCAGUGAGGAAUUUUCGGCAAUGGGGGCAACCCUGACCGAGCAACGCCGCGUGCAGGACGACGGCCUUCGGGUUGUAAACUGCUUUUCUCUGGGACGAGCAAGGACGGUACCAGAGGAAGAAGCCCGGCUAACUACGUGCCAGCAGCCGC